AAAAAAUGCUAUCCUGGAUUUUAUUUCUCUUUCACAGGAAUGGGAAGGAAAAGUGUGGAGUCCGUGUGGAUUUCUCUUAUUUUAUCUGUGGCUUGAAUGUACAUUUCUGAGAGAGGGAGUCAGAUGGUGAAAGGGAGAGAUGUUCUUGCUGAGUUUGUUUAUGUUGUGCUUCAGAGGAUGUAAGACAAGCAGCAAAUCAGCAGAGACAAGCGCUGCCACAUGACAGAGGUACUUAAUAAAUAUCUGUUGGAUGAAUGAAUAAAUUUAUAAAGAACUACUACAAAUUCGUAAGAAAAUUAUGGAUAGGAAAUUCACAGAAAAGGAAACCUGAAUGGCCAAGAAUAAAGACAGGGGAGGACUUGUUUCACCUACCAUGUGGAAUGUUCCUGGGGCCUUGACAGGUCUGAAGCC
rnacentral:lncRNA from 1 species